AUUGAACGCUGGCGGCAGGCCUAACACAUGCAAGUCGAACGAGUGGCGGAAGGGUGAGUAAUGUCUGGGAAACUGCCUGAUGGAGGGGGAUAACUACUGGAAACGGUAGCUAAUACCGCAUACCAUCGGAUGUGCCCAGAUGGGAUUAGCUAGUAGGUGGGGUAAAGGCUCACCUAGGCGACGAUCCCUAGCUGGUCUGAGAGGAUGCCCAGCCACACUGGAACUGCGACACGGGCCAUACUCAUACGGGAGGCAGCAGGGGUGAAUAUUGCACAAUGGGGGCAAGCCUGAUGCAGCAAUGCCGCGUGUAUGAAGAAGGCCUUCGGGGUGUAAAGUACUUUCAGCGGGGAGGCGUUACCCGCAGAAGAAGCACCGGCUAACUCCGUGCCAGCAGCCGCGGUAAUUC
rnacentral:rRNA from 1 species